rnacentral:rRNA from 1 species
UACGUAGGGUGCGAGCGUUGUCCGGAAUUAUUGGGCGUAAAGAGCUUGUAGGCGGUUUGUCACGUCUGCUGUGAAAAUCCGGGGCUCAACCCCGGACUUGCAGUGGGUACGGGCAGACUAGAGUGUGGUAGGGGAGACUGGAAUUCCUGGUGUAGCGGUGGAAUGCGCAGAUAUCAGGAGGAACACCGAUGGCGAAGGCAGAUCUCUGGGCCGUAACUGACGCUGAGGAGCGAAAGCAUGGGGAGCGAACAGG